UUAAGUUCAGCGGGUAUCCCCGCCUGAUCCGAGGCCAACCUUGUGAUAAAAUUUGGGGUCCGGGGCGACCGCCGACCGGGGUUCCUGAGCGAGGGUUUUGCUACGCUCGGAGCCGGUCUUCGGCGCCCACGAGUUUCGGGACGCCCACGGGCGGGUCCCAUCACCAAGCGGGGCUUGAGGGUUGAAAUGGCGCUCGGACA
rnacentral:misc_RNA from 1 species